rnacentral:rRNA from 1 species
AACACCGUUAGCGGCGCGCCUAAGACAUGCAAGUCGAGCGAGAAAGGGCUUCGGCCCCGGUACAGUGGCGCACGGGUGAGUAACACGUAGGUAAUCAACCCUCGAGUGGUGGACAACUCUCCGAAAGGAGAGCUAAUACAGCAUGACGCCAGCAAUGGCCAAAGCGGGCCUCUUCAUGAAAGCUCGCGCUAGAGGAUGAGCCUGCGGCCCAUCAGGUAGUUGGCGGAGUAAUAGCCCACCAAGCCAUAGACGGGUAGCUGGUCUGAGAGGAUGAACAGCCACACUGGAACUGAGACACGGUCCAGACUCCUACGGGAGGCAGCAGUCGGGAAUCUUCCGCAAUGGGCGAAAGCCUGACGGAGCGACGCCGCGUGAGCGAUGAAGGCCUUCGGGUUGUAAAGCUCUGUGGGGAGAGAAGAAUAAGUUUAGGCGAAUACCCUGAAUGAUGACGGUAUCUCCUUAGCAAGCACCGGCUAACUCUGUGCCAGCAGCCGCGGUAAGACAGAGGGUGCAAACGUUGUUCGGAUUUACUGGGCGUAAAGCGUGUGUAGGCGGCUUGGCAAGUUGGAUGUGAAAGCCCACGGCUCAACCGUGGAAGCGCAUCCAAAACUGCUUCGCUCGAGUCUCGGAGAGGAAGGUGGAAUGCUUGGUGUAAGGUGAAAUUCGUAGAUAUCAGCAGAACACCUGCG